GUCACAAAGAGUCAGACAUGACUGAGCACGGUGCACAAAACAUGUGUCAAUAAUUUAACUUAAUUUCCAGUACACAGAUUGCGUUGUCCCUAUAGCAGCACAGAGAAAACCUAGAGGCUCCUGGAGAAGGAAGAUGCACAAUGAGAUGGCCCUCCUCCAAGGGCUGGGGAUGAGAGUAGCACUACCUGUCAUUUUCAAUCCCUCAGAAAUGUGCAGAGGAACACAAAACGUGGGAAACUCAGGUGCAUUCGAAACAAAUGCCCAGAAAACAUUUGUUGCAGGAGAAAGGACUGCCAAGCAGAUGGAUUAAAGGAUGAAUGAAUGCCGGCUUUGGUUGUGUCCCUGUGUGUGGCAGCAAACGCUGAUGGGAGCUGAGACACUAUUUAUGCUAUAGAAUUGGACCAGUUGUGGUCACUGACUCCUGGGCCCUUGCAGGAAAUUUCUGUAGGACUGGCUAUAGGAUCUAAGCAGAAAAUACCAUCUCACCCCUGCUAGAGGUUAUUCCCAGUGCUCCUCCCUAAAAACAACCUGUUGGCCAUUCUGAUGGCAUCGGUAGUGAGGUCUCUGAUGUAUGUUCCAUCUACUAGCUGGUGAGGCU
rnacentral:lncRNA from 1 species